GUGCUGGCAUAGGAAGUACAUAUACUAGAAUUAGAACAGUACAGAGAAGACUAUAAUGCACCUUGUGCCAGGAUGACACACAUAUGCGUGAAAUAUUCUAAUGUAUU